rnacentral:rRNA from 1 species
GGGCGAAAGGGAAUCCCGUUUUUAUUCGGGAACCUGGUUGGGGUAACGUUCGGAUCCUCGUAUCCGUCUCGGCAACGAGAAUUGGCCAUGGGAAGCUGGCGGGAGUGCCGGGAAGAGUUUUCUUUUCUGUGUAAGGGAGAUACAAACCCUGGAAUUCCUCCGCGGAGAGAUAGGGUUAAUCUUCCGAAGAGCGUUGCACUUGAGCGACGUCCGUGCAUUCUUGUCGGUCCUUGAAAACCAUGGUGAGGGCCACGUCUACUCCUCCCACCAGACCGUACCGAUAACCGCAUCAGGUCCCC